rnacentral:rRNA from 1 species
GACGAACGCUGGCGGCGUGCUUAACACAUGCAAGUCGAACGGAAAGGCCUCUUUCGGGGGGUACUCGAGUGGCGAACGGGUGAGUAACACGUGAGUAACCUGCCCUUGACUUUGGGAUAACUUCAGGAAACUGGGGCUAAUACCGGGAUAGGAGCUCCUGCUGCAUGGUGGGGUUGGAAAGUUUCGGCGGUUGGGGAUGGACUCGCGGCUUAUCAGCUUGUUGGUGGGGUAGUGGCUUACCAAGGCUUUGACGGGUAGCCGGCCUGAGAGGGUGACCGGCCACAUUGGGACUGAGAUACGGCCCAGACUCCUACGGGAGGAAGCAGUGGGGAAUAUUGCACAAUGGGUGGAAGCCUGAUGCAGCAACGCCGUGUGCGGGAUGACGGCCU